GCUGGGCGUGGUGGUGGGUGCCUGUAAUCCCAGCUACUCGGGAGGCUGAGGCAGGAGAAUUGCUUGAACCCAGGAGGCAGAGGUUGCAGUGAGCUGAGAUCACGCCACAGCACACUCUAGCCUGGGUGACAAAGCAAGACUCCGUCUCAA
rnacentral:SRP_RNA from 2 species